rnacentral:rRNA from 1 species
UGGGGAAUAUUGGACAAUGGGGGCAACCCUGAUCCAGCCAUGCCGCGUGAGUGAUGAAGGCCUUCGGGUUGUAAAGCUCUUUUGGCGGGGACGAUGAUGACGGUACCCGCAGAAUAAGCCCCGGCUAACUUCGUGCCAGCAGCCGCGGUAAGACGAAGGGGGCUAGCGUUGUUCGGAAUUACUGGGCGUAAAGCGAGUGUAGGCGGUUGCCCAAGUCAGGUGUGAAAGCCUUGAGCUCAACUCAAGAAAUGCACUUGGUACUGGGUGGCUAGAGGACCGGAGAGGAUAGUGGAAUUCCCAGUGUAGUGGUGAAAGACGUAGAGAUUGGGAAGAACACCAGUGGCGAAGGCGGCUCACUGGACUGGUAUUGACGCUGAGGUGCGAAAGCGUGGGGAGCAAAC